UUGAAUGAAUUGAAUAAUUAUAAUAGUUAGUAAUUAUUAACUCCUUAACAUUAUUUAAAAAUAUAUGACUAGUCGUAUAUUUUUAAAUAAUGUUAAGGGGUUAGUGUUAAAUCGUGUAUCACGUAUUUCUGUCAAAUCGUGUUUGUCGAAGACUGAAAAUCUUCUUAUAAAAACAUAUAUGACACCUUUUGGAUCUUUAAUCACCCGCUACAUUAUAACAAAAGCUCUUAUAACAUAGUUGCAUGGUGAACGGUAUAUUGUGUACAUUCCGUAUGAUCCAUUAAUUAGGCAAUGUGAGCACACCAGGGCCUUUGAGACGGAGGGGCAAAGGGGGUAAAUUGACCCGGGCGCCAAGCUUUAAGGGGCGCUAGACAAUCCGUUGGUUUUUUAUUUAUUUAUUUUUUAUUAUUUUUUUUUUUUACAAUAAAUAUAAAGUAUUUUAAUGACUGACAUUUUGAAAUCUACUUAGUUUUUGUACUUGAGAUUAAAGCUUUAGUAUUCGGAAUAAAAACGCUCAUGAAAAAAAUAAUUUAGAAUUUAAAUUCUAUUAUUAUAGUUAAUUAUAAACUAUUUUUUACGAAAAAAAUACAAUUUAUUGAAGUAGAAUUAGACGGAAGCGGAAGUAUUCGGUAAGCCUGUGAACAGUUACCAAUGCUAGCUCAUGCUUGAUUGUUUGGAAGAUGAUGAAAUAUAGUAAUUAUAAUGGUAACUGAUCAAAUAUCGCUUUGAAGCAGCCAACACUAAUAGAACUGAAAAUUUCGUUUAGUAAUGCGUUCCACGGAUUCGCUUCAACUUCUUGCAAAAACAAACACACGAGACUUUAUUGUCGAUUUCACGAUAAAAGCGGUACUCAUUUAGAUAGUAUUUGACUUUGAAUCAAAAGAAUCAUAGCUUUGCGUUUUUUAGAUAAAUAAGCAAUUUUUCCACUACCAGCACCCAAACAAAUAUUUGAGUUUUUGCACCUUUGCUGCACUCAAUAUGUGUAAUUUACUACACUCAAUAUGUAUGAUUUGAAGAUCAGUAGAGGGUUCAAACAAGUUCCUUAAAUCUGAGCUAAAGAAUUUCAAAUUUAUUGUCUGAGUCAGAACGAGAAAAUUUAUAUCUUACAGUGGAGAAUGUGAUGUUCAACCUGAUAUGGUAAUAAUUACUGCUAACCCCUCUUUGUGGCCUGUUGUUUUGAGUCAAAAAAAUCAAGAUGUAAUUAUUUAAAAAAAAAAAAAAACCAGCACAAAAGCAGUUUUCAAAAGUAGGUAAUUGUCGCUUCUUCGUUAGAACAGAGGAGCUAGUGAUCAAUGGAGGAAACUCAUAAAUCGUGUAAAACAGCAUCAAUCCAGCAAAAGUGCAGAUCUCGAAGAAAUCCAGAAUGGUAUCUACUUCACAAUCAUAGUCGAUUGUACCCCAAUAUAUCUCAUACUGACCAGAUAAUCUUUGUUGUUCGUUUUCUCCUCUAUGAAGGAGAAAUUAACUGCUGGAAAAUCAAAGAACGAUACUUGUGUGUUGAAACUUUUCAGAUAAAGAAAGAAGUUGAUAUAGCUAAACUAACCACUAAUGUAGCUUUAAGGCUGAGAAUGAAUGUUCAAAACACGACACGAAAGUGGGACCAUUAUGUCAAGUGCUUACAAAGAAGCUCAAGCCUUAAUAAGGUAAAAUUUCUUGCGAAUUUAUUAAACUCUGUACGUUCCCGGUAGCGCUCACUAUCUAAAUUUGGCUGAUGUGUACGCAGUUGAAUCAGUCAUUGAGAUCAAAGUAUUCUUUAAAAAUGCCGUACCUUGGUACGUAUUUUUAGUGUUUUUUUCAAUGGAAGAUUCUCACUGAAGCAACUUGGAUUUUACUGCAUAGACUUUCUAUGACAACAUGGAGCUCUCUUAUCGACUUGAUCAAACUACUUGCCAAGAGAAACGUUGGCAGCUCUUAAACAUGUCGUGAAAAUCCAUGUUUGACCAGUGAGUAGUUGCUAGUCGUCUUCUACAAUCUGCAGCCAUUACCAUUGAUGAUGAUCUACAUUUGAUUGGACAGCUGCUUGAAAAUCUUAAACGGAUUAGGGACACUUGGUUGUAAAUUUUCUAAGAGUCUGUAAUUGUAUCUGACUCGCUAGGAUUCCAAGUUGAACUCGCUACUAAAGGAAAGCGUAAGCUAAAAAUUUUAUGAUGAGACAUCAAACACAGCCAAUUUCCACCAAAAAAAAGAACUUAAAGUGAACGUUUUAAAUGAUUAUUUAGACAAUUUCUGCGAUAUUCGAUCUAAUCUUGUAAAAGAAACUUGAACGCUAUUUUCCAUACAGUUGUAUCAUUUUCCGGAUUUUCAACCAAAUUCCUAAGUCAGUUGCUGACGGUAAACAAUCAUUUAAUAAACUAAAAAUUGUAAAACACUCUCCUUUGACCAUGGGUCAGGAUCGCGUUAUUGGUAUUUGAUUAUUUUGAUUAAAAAAGAUUUUGGCUAAAAAGUUAGCUUUGACAAUGUCAUUAUUUGGGUGACCAUAAAAGCUCAAAAAGUUUAUUUUUAAGUGCUUUGUUUACCUUUUUUAAAGGUUUUGUUGAAUAAUUUUUUAAUAGUUUUAAAGUUAAUGUUUUGAUCAUGUCAAAAAACCGUUUCUCAAUCCAGAGAAUUAAUGGUAACGCAAAAGUACAAAGUGCUGUAUUAGAAACAAAUAACUGCUGCGUUCACAAAAUUUUUAAAAUUUAAAUUUCUUUAACUAGUUUGAAUUAAGGACGUUGCUCUUCAUUUUUGACCCGGGCGCCAAUGACGCUCUUGAAGGCCCUGGAGCACACACAUCCUAAGGGUUGCUUUAGUUACGUUUUUUAAGUGUUAAGGUUUUUUUUUAUUGUAAUCUAUGCCCGUUUCAGAUAAUGCAAAUAAUUGUGCAUAAUAUAUGACGGUUUAUUUUUUAUUUCACAACACUUUGUAAUGAUAAUACUAAAAAAACAUUGUACGAAUGGUUUAGGUAAAAGAAAUAACGGGUUAUGUGUCACAAAGUGUUAAUAAUGUACUAAUGAAUCACUAGGUGUAAAAGAAUGAAUUUAAAAAAAUGCGUUAUAAUAAAAAUAAUCAAUACUGAUUAUUUCCAUAUAAGUGUAGCACCACGUAACUUAAUAGCCUACUAACUACUACUUCUAAUUACCCAUAUCUCAAUAUCACUAAAAUGAAGAAAGUAGUUAAUAUUAAAUAGACCUCAAUUUGAUGAGCCGCUUUCACGUUGGCAGGGCCUUUAUUGGUUACCUAACAAUAAUGAGAUUUUUAAGAUGUGUGCUGCACAAAAGUAGUCGAGGUAAUUGCAUUUAAUGCAUAAGCGAUUCCGAAAAUUGGGUUUACUAUUGCGUAACAACUUGACCUUACUUUUUAUUGAGUUGGUUUUUAUAAGAGGUGUGGUUGUAAAAUUUUUUUGACGUAUUAUAUAUUUUCUUAGUAAUGCUUCAUAUAGGGGAGAGGGAGGAGCGAACUAGAAAUCGAAAAAAAAACUAAUAUUUUUUGCUAUUUUCCCAAUGUAUUGGCAACAUUUAAGUAUAACUUAUAUAUACAAAAAUUAAUGGUUAAAUACAAUACUUUUUAAUUUUUAAAACAUAGUUUUUUGUACCAAUGCUCCCUUACAUGAGGAGUAAGUGUCCCAUUGAUACACAACUAUAUUUUGAUAAAAAAAUAUUAUUUUAAAACAAUAUGAAAUACAGUACACGUUGCUUUAUUUGUUUAACAUUUUGUAUUUGUGUGUAAGUAAAGUUGAUGGUUUUCCCAUCAACUCUGUAGCAUGCCUUUUAUUAUUCUAUUCAGAUUUUUAUUACGUUCAACAGAGUGUUUUAUUACUCUGCUUCACUAAUCCUAAGUUCUGUAGUUUAUAUUUUUGUUACAAUUGUGUGCAUUCGAAUCCUGCUCCUAUUGAUAAGUUCUUGGUCUUUUAUCAAUCUUACUAAGUUUCUUAUAUAUUAAACAACUUUUUAUUAAUUUUUAUUAAAGUCCCAAAAUGCUCAAACAGUCUUGUCACAGGGCACCACAAAAAAGCAUUUAACUGGUAGAUUCAUGCUUCCUGUCUUGUUUAAAAAAAAAAUUGUAAUCUAUAUGUAGUUGCGAAGAAAAUAUAAAUUAACAGUAUUUGAUAUCUUUCCGAUAAUGUUGUACUCGCUUGAACAAUGUCUGUUAAGUUUGUACGGCAUAUCUAGCUUAACGUAACUUGACGUAAAUACUCGCUGGAUAAAUAAUCUCAUCACUAUUUGUCCGGUUGGUCACGUGGUACGUUUGCCGUACAAAUAUACCCCUAUUAAAAAUACGGUUAGUCACGUGGUACAUCACCGUACAAAUAGUGCUAAUGAUAUUCGUCCGGUAGCCGUACGCGUAGACACUGCCAUAUAAGUAUUGUAGCCUUAAAAGAGUAAAGUAUUGUAGACUUAGGUUAGCACUCUAUUUCUGGAUUCUUUCCUUUUCUAAAUAGACAGUUAUGUAAUUUUUUUAAAAUAGUUUUUAAAGUUUAAUUUUUAAUUACUAUAUUUUCUAUUUAAUGAUGCUAUGUGAAAGUCAAGAAAGUACAAGCUAAACUGCACUUUUAGAAAUGAUUUUUAAAAGUUUAACGUCUGCCAGAUGUUUAUCGCUUGAAUCAUAAACUAAGUGAUGCAGUGAUGAAUAAAGAUUUCAUGAAUCAAGCAACAAAAUUUGAAGGAUCUAAAAAUGCAUAAACAGCUUGGUUAUUGAUGGAAAUUCAGUAUAAACUAUACUGGAUAAAUGAAUCUACUAAUUUACCUUCAGCAGCAUUUACUUUAAAGUCUACUUCCUCUAGUGGCGCUGACAAUGUCUAUAAAGAAAUAUCUACUUCAUUUUGUGGCGAUGAAAAUUGUGCUGAUGCAGACGAAUCGUCAUCGACAUUUUCAAACAAACAUUGUCUGAAACUUUGUGGUUUUCUGGAUGUAUCUGACACUGAAAAUUUAUUUCAUGAGUGCAUGAGUCCUAAAAACUUUUAUAAGUUUUAUUUGUGUACCAAAUUCGGUUUUAUGGACCAUUUCUUGUAAGAAAUGCUUUUGAAAUAAUCAAGUAGAUUUGUUGUUUUUAAA